rnacentral:snRNA from 1 species
AUCACUUCUCGGCCUUUUGGCUGAGAUCAAGUGUAGUAUCUGUUCUUAUCAGUUUAACAUAUGAUACGUCCUCUAUCCCGAGGACCAAUAUAUUAAAUGGAUUUUUGGAAUUAAGAGAUAGAAUAGGAACUGGCUUCGUCCACUCCAGGCAUCGGCCUGCGGGGGGUGGGAGUGGGGUAAUAAUC